GGCAAUGCUACAAAAUACUAAUUGAGUGUAUGUAAACUUCUGACCCACUGGGAAUGUGAUGAAAGAAAUAAUAGCUGAAAUAAAUAAUUCUCUCCACUAUUAUUCUGAUAUUUCACAUUGUUAAAAUAAAGUGGUGAUCCUAACUGACCUAAGACAGGGAAUAUGUACUAUGAUUAUAUGUCAGGAAUUGUGAAAAACUGAGUUUAAAUGUAUUUGGCUAAGGUGUAUGUAAACUUCCGACUACAACUGUAUAUAAGUGUUUUUCUCCACUUUCUGGAGGACUGAGUAUGAUAGCUAAGGAGAUGGAGAAAACACCUGUCUCUGGAUUACACCUUCAGACUAAGGGCAACCAUGGUAUCCGUGACAGGGAGAAGCAUCGAACCAUGAAGUAUGCGGCAGGGGGAGUAGGAGGAGUGGAAGAGCGGAAUAGGAGGAGUGGAAGUGUGAGUAGGAGUUGGACAAAAAAGCAGACAUCAGAAAGAGGAGUAGGAAAAGACUGAGGAAAUAAGAGUGAGUAAUUGUGGGAGCCAGCGUGUUCACCUGGGCCUUGUUCAUUAGGCAAACAUCGUGGAACAUUGCAGAUAGAAAUGUCAUGAACAGAGCGGAGAGGCAUGUUUGUUCUACAUAAGUGUUCCAUAACAUUUUGGGAGAAUGCUGCAUGAGAUCUAGUGCAAACCAUUAUAUAAUAACUGUGCUACGUUAUUACAAUACACCCUUUCUUUCAGUGCCUCUCAGACCAACAGUGCCUCUCUGGGACUAUAUUUAGAGCCCUUAUCCAUUUCCUGCCUCACCAUGGCAUACCCUAUUGUUUCAUAAAUCUGCCUCUGAUGUAACAGCUGACUUACAUCUGCAAGCUGUCUGUUGGUCGCUUGGCAACUCAGCCAGCAUGCCAAUAACAUGGUUACUCAGCAACCGUUUGCCACAUGUGAUAUACUACCCCUUUCUACUUCAUUGAUCCAGAAUAUUUCACCAUUAGCAUAUACAUGAAGUAUUCAGUAGUCAUGUUAACCAAGCUAUCCUUGCGUCCUACUGUUUAUAGGUGCACACAAACAAAUGUAACAAAUUGAUAUGAGAACAUUCAGGAUGACUAUUUCUUAAACAAAUGACAGUGCAAGAUGGAGAAUUUUUCUGUGGAAUUCAAGGUUGAAUAUCAUGGACAUAAUAGUUUGCAUAUUUCCC
rnacentral:lncRNA from 8 species